AUGUGGGCUCCCCCUGACACGAGCUCUGGCAUUGGCUCUCUGUGCCCCGGAGGGUGGGCACGAGCCCAGACUCCCCGCCCCAAGCCAGCUGUCCUCACAGGGACCAUGCUGGCAGUCAGGAUGUCACUCCUCAGGAGGAACCUUCCAGAAGCUCUCCUCCAUUCUGUUUCUAUUCCAUUUCUGGGCUGCUGGAUGUUGGACGACAUUAGCCUUGGAGGUGGAAGCAGACCUUCCUCUCUGAGAUAUUUACAAAAUGAGUAUAAUUCUCAAAACCUCCAGUGGUGUCUAGCCAGGACGAAUUCAGAGAUAAGCAGUUCAGGGAACCCCUUGGCAGUGGCUGCUUCACUUCCGGUGAAGAAACACCAAGGGCUCCACAAUGUAAGUAGGAGCCACAAAAUGGCUACCUGUGGCUGUUUCUCCACUUCCUGGAUGUGGAAACUGAGGCACAAGGGAGCCCAGCUUCAUGGCAGAGAGGCAGGCUUAGACUAAUUUGUCCAGGAGGAAUACUGAAACAGCAACAUUUAAUGUUUUAGUAACCAUUCAUAGUUUCUUUCUUUGUUUCUUUGUUUCUUUCGGUCUUGGUCUGGAGGUUUUUUGGUUUUUUUUUUUUUUUUAUGGGUAUGGGAUGUUAUUUUGUUUUGUGACAGAGUCCCAUGUAUCCAGUCUGGACGUCAGUCAACACACCAAGAAGCUGAGAACUGAACAUCUGGACCCCUGGUCUUCCUGCCUCAGCCUCCUCCCACUCCCUAGCCCCCCAUCUCCCCCACCUCUACAAGUAAGCAUCACCAUGCCUGCCUCUAGCACCUACCUUUUAAAACAUAAAACUUAGAUCUUUUUCAAAGUAAGGCCAGCAAGGUGGCUCAGUAGGAAAAGCCACCAAGUAUGACAACCUGAGUUCCACCCUGAGAACAGGUAGACAGAACCAAAUCUGUGAGCUGUCUCCAGAUCUCCACGCACAUACCAAGACAUGCACAAACACAUACGCAGACUCACACACUAAAUAAACAAGAAUUUCAUCAUUUUUUAAUUUUAAAUUUAAAAUAUUUCAAAUGUUUUUAAUUAAGUAAAAAAAU
rnacentral:lncRNA from 1 species